UGGCGAACCAGAGGACAGCAGUCUAGAAGCUGGAGACUCCGGUGCACACCGUCCACGGUACUCAAAAGCAGAAUAUGAGGCUGCAGAGGCCCUGAUAGACAUUCCAGUGGUGUCAGGCCAACGCGCUACAGAAGGACCUGGAGCAAAC